rnacentral:rRNA from 1 species
AGAGUUUGAUCCUGGCUCAGAGCGAACGCUGGCGGCGUGGUUUAGGCAUGCAAGUCGAGCGAGGCGGGCUGUGAUGUACGUCUAGCGGCGAACGGGUGAGUAACACGUGGAGAACUUGCCCUCGAGUGGGGGAUAACAUCCCGAAAGGGUUGCUAAUACCGCAUAUCCCUGCGGACUCGUUGGAGAUCGCAGGAAAAGCUGGGGACCGUAAGCCUGGCGCUUGAGGAUGGCUCCGCGUUCCAUCAGCUAGUUGGUGAGGUAACGGCUCACCAAGGCACCGACGGAUAGCUGGUCUGAGAGGAUGGUCAGCCACACUGGGACUGAGACACUGCCCAGACUCCUACGGGAGGCUGCAGUCGAGGAUAUUUUCCAAUGGGGGAAACCCUGAGAAUGCGACGCCGCGUGCGGGAUGAAGGCCUUCGGGUCGUAAACCGCUGUCAGGAGGAAAGAAUAUUGUCUUCGCGAAUAAGGAGGCAGUUGACGGUACCUCUGGAGGAAGCCACGGCCAACUCCGUGCCAGCAGCCGCGGUAAGACGGAGGUGGCAAGCGUUGCUCGGAUUCAUUGGGUGUAAAGGGUCGGUAGGCGGUCCGGUAAGUACUCGGUGAAAUCCUGCGGCUUAACCGCAGAACGUUCGGGUAGACUGUCGGACUUGAGGACCGGAGGGGCAGGUGGAAUUCCCGGUGUAAGGGUGAAAUCUGCAGAGAUCGGGAGGAACACCAGUGGCGAGGCGGCCUGCUAGACGGUCCCUGACGCUGAACGACGAGAGCGUGGGGAGCAAACAGGAUUAGAUACCCUGGUAGUCCACGCCGUAAACGAUGAGGACUAGGUGUCGGUUUGACUUCAAAUCGGUGCCGUAGGUAACCCAUUAAGUCCUCCACCUGGGGAGUACGUCCGCAAGGAUGAAACUCAAAGGAAUUGACGGGGCCCGCACAAGCGGUGGAACAUGUGGUUCAAUUCGAUGCUACACGAGAAACCUUACCUAGGUUGACAUGCUGGAAGUACUGAACCGAAAGGGGAUGGACCCGUUAAGUCGGGAGCCAGCACAGGUGGUGCAUGGCUGUCGUCAGCUCGUGCUGUGAAGUGUUGGGUUAAUUCCCGCAACGAGCGCAACCCAUGUCUGUUGUUGCCAGCCGGAGCCGAAAGGCUUCGAGGCACUCAGCAGAGACUGCCGGCGAUGAGCUGGAGGAAGGUGUGGAUGACGUCAAGUCAAUACGCUCCUUAUACCUAGGGCGACACACGUGUACAAUGGCGCGUACAGAGGGGUAUGCGAGCCCGUGAGGGGGAGCGAAUCCCAGAAAGCGCGCCCCAGUUCGGAUUGAAGGCUGCAAUUCGCCUUCAUGAAGUUGGAAUCGCUAGUAACGGCAGAUCAUCAUGCUGCCGUGAAUACGUUCCCGGGCCUUGUACACACCGCCCGUCAAGCGAUGGAAGCUGGGGACACCCGAAGGCAGUUGCCUAACCCGCAAGGGAGGGCGCUGACGAAGGUGAUACUGGUGACUGGCGUAAGUCGUAACAAGGUAACC